GAAGAAAUGAGCUAGUGUUCCAUUCAGUGUAAGGGACUCAACUUGGCGAGCUUCCAAUCUCCACAUGAGAUCAAGACUACAUGAGUGUGAUAACUUUUUUUGUAUAGUUAAAUAAAUUAUUCGGAAUAUAUURUACAUUGUUGAA